CGAUUAGUUCCUAAAAAUAUUUAGAAAAAUAUGUUGUUGUCAGUGAAAGAAUUUUUACGCAGGGCGUGUCUCGUGUCGGUGUUCACUAUACAUAAAACUAUUAGGAAACACAUUUAUAUUCUGCUUUUCUUGAUUUACAUAUUGAAAAUACUUCACAAGACUAAUCAGAUAUGUCUGGACGUGGUGAAAGUGGUUCGUCAUCAGACAAAAAAGACAAAUCCGGAAAACCAGUUACAGAUGAAAAAUCUGGAGAUCGAGAAGACAGUUUUAAAAGUUGUGGUGUGACUAGUGUUUUUGCGAUGGCGCCUCCUAAAACCAAGAAAUGACUUUGCGAAAAGAAUGACACACAGAUUUGGCAGAAUUUUUUUUUUAUAUUUAAUAAUGACUUUCUUUAAUAUCUCUCUUCAAAUGUUUUUUUGAUAGAAAAUAAUAAUGCAACGGUUUUCUCGUUAUUUUUUCAUGUCUUUUCGGCUGUGUUAACACAAUACUUUUACUAUUGAAUUAUUUUAUCAGUUUCCACCAUAAAAGAUUGUUGUGUGAUAUCUAUAUUUCAGUAUAGAUAUAAUUUAUGAUAAUAAGAUAAUAAAGUGUCUUUGUCUUUGA